rnacentral:rRNA from 1 species
CGGCAACAGCUCAAAUUUGAAAUCUGGCCCCCCGGCCCGAGUUGUAAUUUGGAGAGGAUGCUUUUGGCGCGGCGCCGUCCGAGUUCCUUGGAACAGGACGCCACAGAGGGUGAGAGCCCCGUACGGACGGACGCCUAGCCUAUACAAAGCUCCUUCGAC